rnacentral:snRNA from 1 species
GGGCUCACUUCAGCAGCUCAUAAACUAAAAUUGGAAUGAUACAGAGAAGAUUAGAUGGCCCCUGGCGCAAGUAUUCAAAUUUUUUAUAUAUAAAAAAGAUUAUG